rnacentral:rRNA from 1 species
GACGAACGCUGGCGGCGUGCCUAAUACAUGCAAGUAGAACGCUGAAGAGAGGAGCUUGCUCUUCUUGGAUGAGUUGCGAACGGGUGAGUAACGCGUAGGUAACCUGCCUGGUAGCGGGGGAUAACUAUUGGAAACGAUAGCUAAUACCGCAUGAUAUUAAUUGUCGCAUGAUAAUUAAUUGAAAGAUGCAAUUGCAUCACUACCAGAUGGACCUGCGUUGUAUUAGCUAGUUGGUGAGGUAACGGCUCACCAAGGCGACGAUACAUAGCCGACCUGAGAGGGUGAUCGGCCACACUGGGACUGAGACACGGCCCAGACUCCUACGGGAGGCAGCAGUAGGGAAUCUUCGGCAAUGGGGGGAACCCUGACCGAGCAACGCCGCGUGAGUGAAGAAGGUUUUCGGAUCGUAAAGCUCUG